UAAAUCUGGAUUGCCUUCUCAUACCUAUCAAAGAUACAACAGCAAGCCUAUUAUCAAUCAAUCAAUCCGCCCCAAAGUAGAGAAGGGGCUAUAAUCCAUGUGCUCAUGUGUAGAGAACAACAACAUUAUUCCAAACAAUGUCAAAUUUGUGGUUUGAAAAUUCGAUUUUAACAUGGUCCCAUCUCAGUACUGUAAGUACGUCAAUACCAGAGGAUGAGAAAGCCAAAAAAAG